GAUGAAGAACGCAGCGAAAUGCGAUAAGUAAUGUGAAUUGCAGAAUUCAGUGAAUCAUCGAAUCUUUGAACGCACCUUGCGCCCUUUGGCCAUUCCGAAGGGCAUGCCUGUUUGAGUAUCAUGAACACCUCAACUCUUCAUGGUUUUCCGUGAUGAGCUUGGACUUUGGGGGUCUUGCUGGCCUAUGGUCAGCUCCUCUAAAAUAAAUCAGCUUGCCAGUGUUUGGUGGGUAUCACAGGUGUGAUAACUAUCUACGCUUGUGGAUUUCCACCAGGUAACCUUCAGCAGUGGAGGUUCGCUGGAGCUCACAGAUGUGUCUCUCCUCAGUGAGGACAGCUCUUUGAAUGUUUGAUCUCAAAUCAGGUAGGACUACCCGCUGAACUUAAGCAUAUCAAUAAGCGGAGGA
rnacentral:misc_RNA from 1 species